rnacentral:rRNA from 1 species
AACGAACGCUGGCGGCGCGUCUUAAGCAUGCAAGUCGAGCGGCAAGGGCAGCAAUGCCCCUAGAGCGGCGGACUGGUGAGUAACACGUGGGUGAUCUGCCUUCUGGCUGGGGAUAGCCUAUGGAAACAUGGGAUAAUACCGAAUGUGACCGCGCGGGUAGAGCCGCGCGAGGAAAGGUCCUCCGGGACCGCCAGAAGAUGAGCCCGCGGCAGAUUAGCUUGUUGGUGAGGUAACGGCCCACCAAGGCGAUGAUCUGUAGCCGGCCUGAGAGGGGGUACGGCCACAUUGGGAAUGAGAUACGGCCCAAACGCCUACGGGAGGCAGCAGCUAAGAAUAUUCCGCAAUGGACGAAAGUCUGACGGAGCGACGCCGCGUGGAUGACGAAGGCCGAAAGGUUGUAAAAUCCUUUUGUCGGGGAAGAAUAAGCGCGGGAGGGAAUGCCCGCGUGAUGACAUGAACCGGCGAAUAAGCCCCGGCUAACUACGUGCCAGCCGCCGCGGUAA